rnacentral:lncRNA from 1 species
ACUGAGGGUGCCCGUGUAACUACCCGUCCCCCGGCGAGUCCUACAAGGAGAAGAGCUUGUGUCGGGAGGUGGCAGGAUUCGUGUGUGGCAGGUUAGUCCCCAGCCUCAGUGCCCAGGGCCAGGCCCCUCGGUUGUCCAUCUGGGACCACCCUGCAGCCGGCCACUUCAUCGUCUCCCUGGCUGGCCUCAGGGAAGAGGACUCCGGACGCUACUGGUGCUCCAUGCGCCACACUUCGAGCAACACCGUCUUCAACUCCGUCAAAUUCCACCUGGCCGUGCUGCCAGCCCCCACCCGGGCCCCCAGGGCCGCCUGCACCCCCAGCUCCCCACAGAGCCGGAGCUCUGCGCCCCCAGCAGAGGGAGUCACCGAGGCCCUUGAGGCUGCGCCUGCCUUCACCACAUCAGCUUGGUGAGUCUGCCCGGGACCCGUCCACCCUGCCCAGCACAGGAGCGGCAGACCUGACCAGCCGUCUUGUCCUGCCCGCUUCUUGCCUCUCCGCCCUCCAGGCCCCGGAAUGCCACCUUCUGCCCUGGCCCUGAGGCCCCCUGCGCCCUGGGCCCGGGGCUCUGCGGACUCCUUCUCACCAAGAGCCUGGCGCUGGGUGCCCUGCUGUGGUGAGAGGUGUGGGUGGGGCUUGAGGCUGAG